UAGGGAAUCUUCCACAAUGGACGAAAGUCUGAUGGAGCAACGCCGCGUGAGUGAUGAAGGGUUUCGGCUCGUAAAACUCUGUUGUUGGAGAAGAACAGGUGUGAGAGUAACUGUUCACAUCUUGACGGUAUCCAACCAGAAAGCCACGGCUAACUACGUGCCAGCAGCCGCGGUAAUACGUAGGUGGCAAGCGUUGUCCGGAUUUAUUGGGCGUAAAGCGAGCGCAGGCGGUUUCUUAGGUCUGAUGUGAAAGCCUUCGGCUUAACCGGAGAAGUGCAUCGGAAACCAGGAGACUUGAGUGCAGAAGAGGACAGUGGAACUCCAUGUGUAGCGGUGAAAUGCGUAGAUAUAUGGAAGAACACCAGUGGCGAAGGCGGCUGUCUGGUCUGUAACUGACGCUGAGGCUCGAAAGCAUGGGUAGCGAACAGGAUUAGAUACCCUGGUAGUCCAUGCCGUAAACGAUGAGUGCUAAGUGUUGGGAG
rnacentral:rRNA from 1 species